rnacentral:rRNA from 2 species
GCCGGGGACAAACCGGAGGAAGGUGGGGAUGACGUCAAAUCAUCAUGCCCCUUAUGACUUGGGCUACACACGUGCUACAAUGGAUGGUACAAAGGGCUGCAAGACCGCGAGGUCAAGCCAAUCCCAUAAAACCAUUCUCAGUUCGGAUUGUAGGCUGCAACUCGCCUACAUGAAGCUGGAAUCGCUAGUAAUCGCGGAUCAGCAUGCCGCGGUGAAUACGUUCCCGGGCCUUGUACACACCGCCCGUCACACCACGAGAGUUUGUAACACCCGAAGUCGGUGGAGUAACCGUAAGGAGCUAGCCGCCUAUAGGUGUUCCG